CUAACAUGUAUAUUCAAAGCUGUUUAUCCGAGUCAGAGUCACUAAAUUAUUUUUAUCCGGAGCUACAGAGCUCCAAAUUAAGAUCCGUUAAUUUUCCCUGAAACUAGACUCACAUAUCUUCAUACCAUAAAAUUUUCAGAAUUUUUGGUUCAGCCAAAUAGUACAGUUUAUUCUUUAAAGUUUCCCCUGUUUCGCUGUCUGACAGUUCCGACCACUCUUCACUAAAAAUUAAU
rnacentral:lncRNA from 1 species